UUGAACUGGAGCUUCACAUUUACUCAAACUAGUUAGUACCAGAAUAACAUAGAACAAUACUGCGCAUGACCAAGGGUGCUCCAUCCUUAAAGGGGACAUCAGUAAUUAACAGAACAUAACAAGCGGUAUGACAGCUGCUUGGUCCCAUGGUGUUUAUACUUACGUACUAUUGUUUGUACAGAUGAAUGUGGUACCUUCAGGCAUUUGGAAAUUGCUCCCAAGGAUGAACCAGACUUGUGGAGGUCUACAAUUUUUUUCUGAGGUCUUGGAUGAUUUAUUUGGAUUUUCCCAUGAUGUCAAGCAAAGAGGCACUGAGUUUGAAGGUAGGCCUUGAAAUACAUCCACAGGCACACCUCCAAUUGACUCAAAUUAUGUCAAUUAGCCUAACAGAAGCUUCUAAAGCCAUGACAUAAUUUUCUGGAAUUUUCCAAGCUGUUUAAAACAACAGUCAACUUAGUGUAUGUAAACUUCUGACCAACUGGUAUUGUGAUACAGUGAAUUAUAAGUGAUAAAAUCUGUCUGUAAACAAUUGAUGGAAAAAUUACUUGUGUCAUGCACAAAGUAGAUGUCCUAACCGACUUGCCAAAACUAUAGUUUGUUAACAAGAAAUUUGUGGAGUGGUUGAAAAACAAGUUUUAAUGACCAUCGAAAAUGUAUGUAAGCUUCCGAUUUCAACUGUAAAGUACCUAUGUGGGGGUGUAGGCUAUGGUCCUUGUUUGACUGACCUGUACCCUUUUUGCAGUCAUUACACAAUACCUACUUAUCUCUUCCAGCCAUCAGAACAAUCCUGCAUAAACUGACUGUCCCUGGCUGUACGAAUAACAGACAUACAGUACACACACACAGACCCACCCACACACAGACCCACACACAAACAAAGACAUUUAUAAACAUACACAAUGGAAGUGACUGGAAUCGAAAACAUUUCAACCAAUGAAUAUAUUGGUUAACUUACAAUGCUCUUAAAUUGAACACAGUGAGAAUAGAAACAGAGUAGAAGGAAAACAUGAAGUAAUGUUUCUAAAGGACAUUCUUUCUUUCUACAGUGCGUUUCAUCAACUAUAAACUUCACAAAGGAGAUUCAAGGAUGCAAGCUUUGAAAGCAGAGUGUCGAUACACCAGCUUGUAUACCUAACAAACAAUGGUUUUCCUUCCCUGAGCCCUUUUUUCUCUUUCAAGGUUUGGGUGAUAGAGAUAGGGAGGGAGGAUACUCAUUUCAACCACCAUAUCAAGUAACUGUCAGCAUGUCUAGACCAGGUGUUUCAGAUGCUGUUGCCUGGUCAUCGCUAAGGAAUUAAAGCCCUUGUGGGUCACAAUACCGCUGGGCUUUAGGGCCUAUAGAAACCAAACAGCCCAUUGUUGUCACUGAGAACUUUACUUUUCAUGAGAUGGCUGAUAGGUUUGUUUUGUCUGCACUACCUCCUCCCAAUCCAUCACACGGCACUGACAAAAUAUUAAAUGUUGACAGCUCCUCUGAUUACAGGAGAGGGAAAAUUAGUGCUUUCCACCUGAGUUUAGCCUUUAAGUGAUCAUCUUUCCACCUGUUAUACCUUACCUUGCCUUUGUCCAGCCAAAUGAAAUUUGCAAGUCAAACGACAGUUUGAACGUAAAAAUAUUUGUUUAUCAAAUUGCGUUUUUUGGCAUUAAUGCCUUCUCGAACAUGUAAACUUUCAUUAACAACAAACAUGUAUGCCAUCUGUAAAUACAAAUAAAAUUGUUUAAUUACCAGCCUUGUUUGUUACGCCACAAAAAAGACAGCAACCUUCCCACGAUUGGCUAAGAUAAUGAGUGGGCUGGACAUGCCGAGAAAGGAGUUCAGAUUGGUCUGCCAUAUAGAUGGCUUCUGUCUAUUUGAGCUGGUCAGUCUGUAUUGGUAAUCCUGACGAAUGCGGCUUUAAAAAAAUGUAUUGUGUAGUGGAGCUGCAUAAGUGUUGCUCUCCACUUUCUGGAGGAUCAAGUUUUGAAAUCAGUGAAAUUAGAAUAUGAUUGCUAAAGAGAUGGAGAAAACACCCAUCUCCGGAUUACAUCUUCAAACUAAGGGCAACCGUGGCAUGGCAUUCAUGACAGGGAGACGCGUCCAUCAUGCAUGAUGACGUAUACUGGUAAGAUAAUAUAACGUUAGCUAGCUACAUUUUCAGAUAUUAGACAUUUAUAAUUUUGACAAAGUGGUUUCAUUUGAAGAUAAAGUGUACUGUUAGCUAGCUAGCUAACGUUAGCUGGCUGGCUCCCUAGCAGACGCUAUUAUUCGUAUACCAGAGCCAUUUGCUUU
ensembl:lncRNA